CCUACGGGAGGCAGCAGUAGAGAAUCAUUCACAAUGGGGGAAACCCUGAUGGGGCGACGCCGCGUGGGGGAAUGAAGGUCUCCGGAUUGUAAACCCCUGUCAUGUGGGAGCAAAUUAAAAAGAUAGUACCACAAGAGGAAGCGACGGCUAACACUGUGCCAGCAGCCGCGGUAAUACAGAGGUCUCAAGCGUUGUUCGGAAUCACUGGGCGUAAAGCGUGCGUAGGCUGUUUCGUAAGUCGUGUGUGAAAGGCGCGGGCUCAACCCGCGGACGGCACAAGAUACUGCGAGACUAGAGUAAUGGAGAGGGAACCGGAAUUCGCGGUGUAGCAGUGAAAUGCGUAGA
rnacentral:rRNA from 1 species